GCAAAACAAAACAAAGCCCUUCCUUGUUUCUUCUGAUUGUCGCGCUCUGAAAUGAACUGCAAGUGAAACCCGGUCAGUUCAACAAUUUCUCCAGUUCUAAAACGGACAAGCUUGUUUCGUCCUAUAUACAUGACCUUGUGUAGACCUAAGCUGGAAGAAAUCAGUCCAACAGGAAACAAUCCACUGUGUGUCAGGUUCUGCACUGGACAGAGAAGACAAGGUGCUCAAGAAUGAUUCGUCCUCUACUCUCAAAGAGAUCUUACCCUACAGAGCAAUUUAGAGGGAUGGCAGUCACAGCGCUACUAAUUUUAAAAGAGAUAAUGAUAAGUACUGUAAAGGAAAGAUAGGUCAGUGUGACAGUGAUCUGAAGCAUUACUUGGAUUGGGUAAUCAGCGAGGCCAUCCUUGAGGAGAUGCCAUUUAAAUUGAGAACUGAAGCCAAGAAAAGCCAGCCAUACAGAGACUGGAGUAUGUUCCACAGGGAGAAAAACCCCAAAUACCCUAAGACAGAAAACAAUCGGUCACAUUCAUGGAAAGGCAAGAAGGCCAAGAGACCAAAGAUAAAUGAACGAAUGGAGCUUUGGAGAACUCUAAUUUUCAGUAUCAAGCAUCUGAUACCCAUCCCAUGCUCUUAAAAUGUAUUGAUAUGUUACUGAUUAACUUCUUUUUUUUUCUUUUUUUGCCUGGGUUUUUUUCUGUUCCAAUUGCUAAUAUUUCUCCAUUCCAUAGGUUGC